rnacentral:rRNA from 1 species
GACGAACGCUGGCGGCGUGCUUAACACAUGCAAGUCGAACGGAAAGGCCCUGCUUUUGUGGGGUGCUCGAGUGGCGAACGGGUGAGUAACACGUGAGUAGCCUGCCCUUGACUUUGGGAUAACUUCAGGAAACUGGGGCUAAUACCGGAUAGGAGCCCCUGCUGCAUGGUGGGGGUUGGAAAGUUUCGGCGGUUGGGGAUGGACUCGCGGCUUAUCAGCUUGUUGGUGGGGUAGUGGCUUACCAAGGCUUUGACGGGUAGCCGGCCUGAGAGGGUGACCGGCCACAUUGGGACUGAGAUACGGCCCAGACUCCUACGGGAGGCAGCAGUGGGGAAUAUUGCACAAUGGGCGGAAGCCUGAUGCAGCAACGCCGCGUGCGGGAUGACGGCCUUCGGGUUGUAAACCGCUUUCGCCUGUGACGAAGCGUGAGUGACGGUAAUGGGUAAAGAAGCACCGGCUAACUACGUG